rnacentral:rRNA from 1 species
GACGAACGCUGGCGGCGUGCUUAACACAUGCAAGUCGAACGGUGAAAGCGGAGCUUGCUCCGCUGGAUCAGUGGCGAACGGGUGAGUAACACGUGGGCAACCUGCCCCUGACUUCGGGAUAACUCCUCGAAAGAGGUGCUAAUACCGGAUACGAAUCCUGCAGGCAUCUGCGGGAUUGGAAAGUUUUUCGGUCAGGGAUGGGCCCGCGGCCUAUCAGCGUGUUGGUGAGGUAGUGGCUCACCAAGGCGACGACGGGUAGCCGGCCUGAGAGGGCGACCGGCCACACUGGGACUGAGACACGGCCCAGACUCCUACGGGAGGCGGCAGUGGGGAAUAUUGCGCGAUGGGCGAAAGCCGGACGCAGCAGCGCCGCGUGAGUGAUGACGGCCUUCGGGUUGUAAACCUCUUACAGCAGGGAAGAAGCGAAAGUGACGGUACCUGCAGAAGAAGCACCGGCUAACUACGUGCCAGCAGCCGCCGCCG